CAACUUUCAGCAAUGGAUCUCUUGGCUCUCGCAUCGAUGAAGAACGCAGCGAAUUGCGAUAUGUAAUGUGAAUUGCAGAUUUUCCGUGAAUCAUCGAAUUUUUGAACGCACCUUGCGCUCCUUGGUAUUCCGAGGAGUAUGCCUGUUUGAGUGUCAUUAAAUUCU
rnacentral:rRNA from 1 species